AAACCAACAGGGAUUGCCUCAGUAGCGGCGAGUGAAGCGGCAAGAGCUCAGAUUUGAAAUCUCACCUAGUGUGCGAGUUGUAAAUUGCAGGUUGGAGUCUCGGGUUAGACGUGUGUGCAAGUCCCUUGGAACAGGGUGCCACUGAGGGUGAGAGCCCCGUANCGUGCAUGUCGACACCUGUGAGGCCCUUCUGACGAGUCGAGUUGUUUGGGAAUGCAGCUCUAAGUGGGUGGUAAAUUCCAUCUAAGGCUAAAUAUUGGCGAGAGACCGAUAGCGAACAAGUACUGUGAAGGAAAGAUGAAAAGCACUUUGAAAAGAGAGUGAAACAGCACGUGAAAUUGUUGAAAGGGAAGGGUAUUGGGCUCGACAUGGGAUUUACGCAUCGUUGCCUCUCGUGGGCGGCGCUCUGGGUUUUUCCUGGGCCAGCAUCGGUUUUCGUUGCAGGAUAAGGAC
rnacentral:rRNA from 1 species